AAUAGCCCCAAUCCAGGGGGAACCCAGGUGGAACCCAGGUGGAACCCAGGUGGAAUCCAGGUGGAAUCCAGGUGGAAUCCAGGUGGAACCCAGGUGGAAUCCAGGUGGAACCCAGGUGGAACCCAGGUGGAAUCCAGGUGGAAUCCAGGUGGAAUCCAGGUGGAACCCAGGUGGAACCCAGGUGGAACCCAGGUGGAAUCCAGGUGGAACCCAGGUGGAAUCCAGG